GAAGGAAGUGGCACCCUCUCUACUCUGGGAGGAGGCUCCCCACCCUGUCCUCCGUGUGUUAGACACAGGGGCUCUAGGAAUUUAGAAAGUCUUCUCCCAAGGCAAUUGUCUGCUUGACAAGACUUAAAUCUGGCUUCAGAAUCCUGUUUUCUGUGUCCAAAGCUCAUUACUACUUGUUUCCUACUCUGUCCUUUCAUUUUCUAACAAUCCUAUCUCCCCCAGGCAACCGAAUGCCUCAGGCCAAUUAUCAAGAAGGUCAGGUACUCGAGAAGACAAAGGGAAAAGCAAAGUCAGUGUGGAAACACCUUCCUAUCAGACAGUUGUAGCCUCACUUUGCUUCCCUGUGGUCCCUAAACAAAAGGCUAGUUUGUCAUUAACUACACAUGAAAAAGAUUCUGGCUGGGCGCUGUGGUUCACGCCUGUAAUCCCAGCACUUUGGGAGACUUUGGUGGGCUGAUCACAAGGUCAGGAGUUCUAAUCAUCUUUUAUGAAAUCCUGCUGAGUCUACCAUCACUAAAUAUCUAAAUAUCACUGCUUUAAUUCAGCCUUCACAAGUGCUCUGGAUUGUUCGUUCAUUUUCAAGGAGUUUGAGACCAGCCCGGGCAACAUAGUGAGACCCAAUCUCUAUUAAAAAAUAAAAAUUAAAACAUAAAUAAAUAAAAAUUACUUGAUAUAUAUGCCUGAUCAAAUUCAAAUUUGAAUCUUGCCAAAAACUAAUGGAUCAUUUACAGGAAAUAAGAAGUUGAAGAGAAGGAUGAGUUAGUAGACUUCAAAGCAAACUCAUUUCCACAG
rnacentral:lncRNA from 1 species